UUAACAAAAAUUUCAGCUGAGACUUAAACCGACUUUUUCAAGGAAAUGAAAUUAGGAGAACAAAAACACUUUGAAGUGGACUGCAUAUAUAUACUCAAAAAUAACAUACAACUUGAGUCAGUAAUGGUAAAGAAAACGAACGUACACAGACGGGUUUGGAUUUAGAUGAUGAAGAAUGCACUGAAAGCUUUGCAUUUGAGUUCUCUUUUUCGGGUGAGUAAGUUAGGGAACUGCAAGGCCGAUCAAUUUGAAAAAAGAAAAAAGAAAAAAACUAAAAUGUAAACGCAGCUUGAACUUGAUUUCUUUUGGUUUUUGGGGAGGGGACGGGGGGAGGGGAGGGAAUGUAUACGCAGCUUCAAACUUGGUUUCUUUUCGUUUUUUUCCCCGGGGGUGUGGAGGCCUGGAGGGAAUGUAAACGAACUAACGAAGCCUCAAUCCUCAUGCAGCUGUAUUUAUAUGAAGUGGGUACUGCUGACUGAUCCACGAAGGAAGACUUUUGAUGUCAUUGGUGUUUCUUUAUUUUUGACCUUUUAGCUAGAUGACAGAAGAAUGCCGAGUGCUACGGACACUCGCGAGUGUCUCAAUCGCGGCUCUCUAUAUAGACACGUGUCUAUCAAAAUGAAACCUUAUCAGAGAGACAGCCGCAAGUAUGACGAGACAAGCGCGAUCGUAAGGAUGGAAGCCGCAAGUAUGAAGAGACAGGCCCAAUCCACAACGAUCCAAGAGCAAUCAUUACCUGCAAACUCAACACAACACCUAAUUAACUUCAAACCCCACCAUAAAUCCACCAACAGUCACUAUUCGAAACAAAUCUACCUCAAAUGCGACGUCAAAUAAAAGGAAUAAAAAGGUUUCCUUAAAAGAGAGAGAGCUGCGAGUAUGAAGAGACAAGCACGGUCCACAACGAUCGAAGGCUGUGUGGUAUGUGUCUUGUAUAGAUUGAACAGAGCAAUCAUUACCUGCAAAACUGAACCAAACACUCAAUUAACAAACAAAUUUCAAUUUGAAACCCGACCUUAAAUCCACCAUUGGGCACUAUUCGACACAAAUCUACUUGAAAUCCGACAACAAAUAAAAGGAAAAAAAAUUCUAAAUCAACAUCGAAAUGAAACCUUUAUAAGAGAGAAAGCCGCAAGUACGAAGAGAUCUGAAGUCCUGUUGGUAUAUGUCUUGUAUAGAUUGACAGAGCAAUCAAAGGCCGUGUCGACCAGAGCAAUCGCAGAAUAGAAGAGAUAAGAGAGGAAAAAAGAAGGAAGAGGAGAGCUGCAGCAGCAAAUGAUCAGAGCAAUCAUUACCUGCAAAACUCAACACAACACCAAAUUAACAACCAACAUUUCAAUUUCAAACUUAACCUUAAAUUGAAACAAAUCUACUUGAAAAUAAAAGAAUAAGCAACUCCGAAUCAAAAUCGAAAUGAAACCUUUUAUAACAGAGACAGCCGCGAGUAUGAAGAGACAGGCACAAUCUGCAGCGAUCGAAGAGAAAUCACCACUACCUGCAAAACUCAACACAACGCCUGAUUAACAACAAACAUGCCAAUUUCAAACCCACCUUAAAUCCACCAACAGACACUAUAACUUGAAAUGCAAUAUCAAAUAAAAGGAACAAGUAGUCUAAAUCAAAAUCAAAACGAAACCUUAUAAAAGAGACAGCCGCAAGUCUGAAGAGACCAGCACGAUCCUAAAGGAUCAAAGCCGCAAGUAUGAACAGACCUGAUUAACAACAAACACCUGAUUACCUGCAAAACUCAACACAACACCUGAUUAUCAACAAACAUUUCAAUUUCAAACCCAAAACAAAUCUACUUGAAAAAAAAAAAAAAACAACUCCAAAUCAAAAUCGAAAUGAAACCUUAUUAGAAAGACAGCCGCAAGUAUGACGAGACAAGCACGAUCGUAAAGGAUGGGAGCCGCAAGUAUGAAGAGACAGGCCCAAUCCACAACGAUCCAAGAGCAAUCAUUACCUGCAAACUCAACACAACACCUAAUUAACUUCAAACCCCACCAUAAAUCCACCAACAGUCACUAUUUGAAACAAAUCUACCUCAAAUGCGACAUCAAAUAAAAGGAAUAAAAAGGUUUCCUUAAAAAAGAGUCCACAACGAUCGAAGGCUGUGUUGUAUGUGUCUUGUAUAGAUUGAACAGAGCAAUCAUUACCUGCAAAACUGAACCAAACACUCAAUUAACAAACAAAUUUCAAUUUGAAACCCGACCUUAAAUCCACCAUCGGGAACUAUUCGACACAAAUCUACUUGAAAUCCGACAACAAAUAAAAGGAAAAACAAGUCUAAAUCAACAUCGAAAUGAAACCUUUGUAAGAGAGAAAGCCGCAAGUAUGAAGAGAUCUGAAGUCCUGUUGGUAUAUGUCUUGUAUAGAUUGACAGAGCAAUCAAAGGCCGUGUCGACCAGAGCAAUCGAAGAGUAGAAGAGAUAAGAGAGGAAAAAAGAAGAAGAGGAGAGCUUCAGCAGCAAAUGAUCAGAGCAAUCAUUACCUGCAAAACUCAACACAACACCAAAUUAACAACCAACAUUUCAAUUUCAAACCCAACCUUAAAUUGAAACAAAUCUACUUGAAAAAUAAAGGAAAAAGCAACUCCAAAUCAAAAUCGAAAUGAAACCUUUUAAAACAGAGACAGCCGCGAGUAUGAAGAGACAGGCACAAUCCGCAGCGAUCGAAGAGAAAUCAUCACUACCUGCAAAACUCAACACAACGCCUGAUUAACAACAAACAUGCCAAUUUCAAACCCAACCUUAAAUCCACCAACAGACAGACACUAUAACUUGAAAUGCAAUAUCAAAUAAAAGGAAAAACAAGUCUAAGUCAACAUCGAAAUGAAACCUUUAUAAGAUAGAAAGCCGCAAGUACGAAGAGAGAAGCGCGAUCCUAAAAGAUCUGAAGUCGUGUUGUAUAUAUGUCUUGUAUAGAUUGACAGAGCAAUCAAAGCCCGUGUCGACCAGAGCGAUCGAAGAGGAGAAGAGAGAAGAGAGAAAAAGAGAAGAGGAGGAGAACUGCAGCAGCAAAUGAGCAAAGGGAGCUCA
rnacentral:lncRNA from 1 species